rnacentral:rRNA from 1 species
CAGUAGCCACGGGAAUACGUAGGUGGCAAGCGUUGUCCGGAAUUAUUGGGCGUAAGGGCUCGCAGGCGGUUUCUUAAGUCUGAUGUGAAAGCCCCCGGCUCAACCGGGGAGGGUCAUUGGAAACUGGGAAACUUGAGUGCAGAAGAGGAGAGUGGAAUUCCACGUGUAGCGGUGAAAUGCGUAGAGAUGUGGAGGAACACCAGUGGCGAAGGCGACUCUCUGGUCUGUAACUGACGCUGAGGAGCGAAAGCGUGGGGAGCGAGCAGGAUUAGAUACCCGCGUAGUCCCUGUCUCUUAUACA